AAUACCAAACGAUAUUUGGAAGCAAUAACGAAAUUCACUUACAACAAUUUAAAAAUGUGUCGGCAUUCCCCCAGUGUACAAAUGCAUGAUGUUCCGGGUCCAGCCUUUACCGAAGACGAAAAAUCGAAAGAAGAAGAUGACCCUGAUGUUAGAAUAAGUCAGGAUUUGGAAGAUAAAUUAGUUGAUGCAAAAAAUGAGUUUUAUGACGGUGAUAAUGACAAUGAUAAAGUGUGAGUGUAGCCUUGAAAAAUUAUUAUUGGGUGAUCAUUUAAUUGGAUUACCCGAAACACAAGUUAUAUUCAAUGAUGAUAAAUAGUUCAAUAUUGCAAAUAUUUUCAUCAUUUGUAUUCAUACAUGUAACACUUUCAUUUCUCAAAAUUCAGUGACUUUCAAAGACGAAGAAACUUAUUUUCAAUAACUGUAUAUAAACAAUAUUUCAUAUCGGAUUGAAAAACAUAUCUAUUGAUCCAAAAAAAAAAAUUAGUUAACUGGCUGCCGUUUCAGUCAUUUUUUUGUAAAUAUUUUACUAGAAAUAAGGAAUUUUGCCAAAGUUUUAUGUGAUGAAUAUAUUAUGAGACUUCUCGAUAAGAUUUUGAUAGUAUCAACUAUGCUGUGAUAAAUGAGAAAUAGUCAAUGUGGAUGAAAGACUGAUGUAAAUCAUUUUUUGUACUUUGUAAUUUUUAAUAUACACAUUUCAUGUUACUUUUUUUGAA